rnacentral:tRNA from 1 species
GCCUGGGUGGCUCAGUCGGUUGAGCGUCUGACUUCGGCUCAGGUCAUGAUCUCACAGUCUGUGAGUUCGAGCCCCGUGUUGGGCU